AAAUUGAAGAGUUUGAUCAUGGCUCAGAUUGAACGCUGGCGGCAGGCCUAACACAUGCAAGUCGAGCGGAAACGAGUUAUCUGAACCUUCGGGGGAUGAUAACGGCGUCGAGCGGCGGACGGGUGAGUAAUGCCUAGGAAAUUGCCCUGAUGUGGGGGAUAACCAUUGGAAACGAUGGCUAAUACCGCAUGAUGCCUACGGGCCAAAGAGGGGGACCUUCGGGCCUCUCGCGUCAGGAUAUGCCUAGGUGGGAUUAGCUAGUUGGUGAGGUAAGGGCUCACCAAGGCGACGAUCCCUAGCUGGUCUGAGAGGAUGAUCAGCCACACUGGAACUGAGACACGGUCCAGACUCCUACGGGAGGCAGCAGUGGGGAAUAUUGCACAAUGGGCGCAAGCCUGAUGCAGCCAUGCCGCGUGUGUGAAGAAGGCCUUCGGGUUGUAAAGCACUUUCAGUCGUGAGGAAGGUGGUAGUGUUAAUAGCACUAUCAUUUGACGUUAGCGACAGAAGAAGCACCGGCUAACUCCGUGCCAGCAGCCGCGGUAAUACGGAGGGUGCGAGCGUUAAUCGGAAUUACUGGGCGUAAAGCGCAUGCAGGUGGUUUGUUAAGUCAGAUGUGAAAGCCCGGGGCUCAACCUCGGAAUAGCAUUUGAAACUGGCAGACUAGAGUACUGUAGAGGGGGGUAGAAUUUCAGGUGUAGCGGUGAAAUGCGUAGAGAUCUGAAGGAAUACCGGUG
rnacentral:rRNA from 1 species